UACGGGGGGGGCAAGCGUUGCUCGGAAUUACUGGGCGUAAAGCGCACGUAGGCGGAUUGUUAAGUCGGGGGUGAAAUCCUGGAGCUCAACUCCAGAACUGCCUUCGAUACUGGCGAUCUUGAGUCCGGGAGAGGUGAGUGGAACUCCGAGUGUAGAGGUGAAAUUCGUAGAUAUUCGGAAGAACACCAGUGGCGAAGGCGGCUCACUGGCCCGGUACUGACGCUGAGGUGCGAAAGCGUGGGGAGCAAACAGGG
rnacentral:rRNA from 1 species